AACUUUCAACAAAGGAUCUCUUGGCUCUCGCAUCGAUGAAGAACGCAGCGAAGCGCGAAAUGUAGUGUGAAUCGCAGAACAUUGUGAAUCAUCGAACCUUUGAACGCACAUUGCGCCUCUCUUAACAGGGAGGCAUGCCUGUCUGAGUCUCAUUU
rnacentral:rRNA from 1 species